UUCCAGGGAUGGGAAUCGAACCCACACUGUUCCGCUUACCGGGCAGAUGCCAUGUCCACUAGGCUACCCUGGA